rnacentral:rRNA from 1 species
GAUGAACGCUGGCGGCGUGCCUAAUACAUGCAAGUCGAGCGAACGGACGAGGAGCUUGCUUCUCUGAUGUUAGCGGCGGACGGGUGAGUAACACGUGGAUAACCUACCUAUAAGACUGGGAUAACUUCGGGAAACCGGAGCUAAUACCGGAUAAUAUUUUGAACCGCAUGGUUCAAAAGUGAAAGACGGUUUUGCUGUCACUUAUAGAUGGAUCCGCGCUGCAUUAGCUAGUUGGUAAGGUAACGGCUUACCAAGGCGACGAUGCGUAGCCGACCUGAGAGGGGGAUCGGCCACACUAGAACCUGAGCACGGGCCCAGCUCCUUAGGGAGGGCAGAGUUGGGAAACCUUCGGCAAGGGGGGAAAGCUUGCCGAAGAACCGCGGGGUGGGUGAUGAAGGCCUCCGGACGGUAAACCUUUGUUAUGGGGGAAAAACAUAUGGGUAAGUAACUGUGCACAUCUGACCGUAACCUAUUAAGAAGCCCCGGGUAACUACCGU